rnacentral:lncRNA from 1 species
GCCCCACCCAGUGCCUCACUCAUCCACUCACAGCACUGCUCUCAUCCACUCAUCCACUCAUCCACUCACAGCACUGCAUCACUCAUCCACUCACAGCAUCACUCAUCCACUCAUCCACUCACAGCACCACUCAUCCACUCAUCCACUCUCAGCACUCAUCCACUCAUCCACUCAUCCACUCACAGCACUCAUCCACUCAUCCACUCAUCAUCCACUCACACACUCAUCCACUCAUCAUCCACUCAUCCACUCAUCCACUCAUCACUCAUCCACUCAUCCACUCACAGCACUCAUCCACUCAUCCACUCAUCAUCCACUCAUCCACUCAUCACUCAUCCACUCAUCCACUCACAGCACUCAUCCACUCAUCACUCAUCCACUCAUCCACUCACAGCACUGCUCUCAUCCACUCAUCCACUCACAUCACUCACAUCACUCAUCCACUCAUCCACUCUCAGCACUCAUCCACUCAUCCACUCUCAGCACUCAUCCACUCAUCCACUCACAGCACUCAUCCAAUCACCCACUCAUCCACUCAUCCAGUCAUCCACUCAUCCUCUCAUCCACUCAUCCACUCACAGCACUCAUCCACUCAUCCACUCAUCCACUCAUCCACUCACAGCACUCAUCCACUCACAGCACUCAUCCACUCAUCCACUCAUCAUCCACUCACACACUCAUCCACUCAUCAUCCACUCAUCCACUCAUCCACUCAUCCACUCACAGCACUCAUCCACUCAUCCACUCAUCACUCAUCCACUCACAGCACUGCUCUCAUCCACUCAUCCACCCAGUGCACCCACUCAUCCACUCAUCCACUCAUCCAGUCAUCCACUCAUCCUCUCAUCCACUCAUCCACUCACAGCACUCAUCCACUCAUCCACUCAUCACUCAUCCUCUCAUCCACUCAUCCACUCAUCCACUCACAGCACUGCUCUCAUCCACUCAUCCACUCAUCCACCCAGUGCACCCACUCAUCCACUCAUCCACUCAUCCACUCACAGCACUGCUCCACUCAUCCACUCAUCCACUCACAGCACUGCUCCACCCAGUGCCUCCACUCUGUUUGGCAUCCAAUCACUUGAGCUUACAUCCGUUCA